UGUUGAAGGCCCUGCAAAGCAGCAUCGCGGUGGCGGAGCGUCGUUUGCGACGCCCAACACACAAAACAAGCGGUGAGUGCUUUGGGGUGGGGUGACUGCGUACCUUUUGUAUAAUGGGUCAGCGACUUAUAUUCUGUAGCAAGGUUAACCGUAUAGGGGAGCCGAAGGGAAACCGAGUCUUAACUGGGCGUUAAGUUGCAGGGUAUAGACCCGAAACCCGGUGAUCUAGCCAUGGGCAGGUUGAAGGUUGGGUAACACUAACUGGAGGACCGAACCGACUAAUGUUGAAAAAUUAGCGGAUGACUUGUGGCUGGGGGUGAAAGGCCAAUCAAACCGGGAGAUAGCUGGUUCUCCCCGAAAGCUAUUUAGGUAGCGCCUCGUGAACUCAUCUUCGGGGGUAGAGCACUGUUUCGGCUAGGGGGUCAUCCCGACUUACCAACCCGAUGCAAACUGCGAAUACCGAAGAAUGUUAUCACGGGAGACACACGGCGGGUGCUAACGUCCGUCGUGAAGAGGGAAACAACCCAGACCGCCAGCUAAGGUCCCAAAGUCACAGUUAAGUGGGAAACGAUGUGGGAAGGCUCAGACAGCCAGGAUGUUGGCUUAGAAGCAGCCAUCAUUUAAAGAAAGCGUAAUAGCUCACUGGUCGAGUCGGCCUGCGCGGAAGAUGUAACGGGGCUAAACUGUGCACCGAAGCUGCGGCAGCGACGCUUAUGCGUUGUUGGGUAGGGGAGCGUUCUGUAAGCCUGCGAAGGUGUCCUGUGAGGGAUGCUGGAGGUAUCAGAAGUGCGAAUGCUGACAUAAGUAACGAUAA
rnacentral:rRNA from 1 species